rnacentral:rRNA from 1 species
AUUGAACGCUGGCGGCAGGCCUAACACAUGCAAGUCGAGCGGAUGAAGGGAGCUUGCUCCUGGAUUCAGCGGCGGACGGGUGAGUAAUGCCUAGGAAUCUGCCUGGUAGUGGGGGAUAACGUCCGGAAACGGGCGCUAAUACCGCAUACGUCCUGAGGGAGAAAGUGGGGGAUCUUCGGACCUCACGCUAUCAGAUGAGCCUAGGUCGGAUUAGCUAGUUGGUGGGGUAAAGGCCUACCAAGGCGACGAUCCGUAACUGGUCUGAGAGGAUGAUCAGUCACACUGGAACUGAGACACGGUCCAGACUCCUACGGGAGGCAGCAGUGGGGAAUAUUGGACAAUGGGCGAAAGCCUGAUCCAGCCAUGCCGCGGGUGUGAAGAAGGUCUUCGGAUUGUAAAGCACUUUAAGUUGGGAGGAAGGGCAGUAAGUUAAUACCGUGCUGUUUUGACGUUACCAACAGAAUAAGCACCGGCUAACUUCGUGC